CCUAGCCUAACCAAAAUCCUAGGAUUAAUACUCCUGGUUGGUACCAUAUCUUAAAUCAACUAUAAUGUUGUCACUUGACUCAACUUAAUUGUAAUUAGUCCAUCUGAAUAAUCGUUUGACACAUUCUGAUCCACCAUGCCAUUUAUAUAUAUAAAAAACAGUGCAAUCUUUCCUGCUAUUGUAUGACAUACCACUGCUUUAUCUUGCUUUAUC